ACACCCCACAUUCAAAAUCUUUUUUUUUUGAAUGGAACUGAGCGACUUUUACGGUCUUUUUUUUAAGACUGUUCGCUUUAAAAAUAUUAGGCCUGGAAUUUAGUAUUUUCUUGAUUUGCCUGAACUUUUUUUUUAAUAUAAAGGAAAAGCUCUGGUUCAAACCUAUUGAAGUUCUAAAAGCUUUGGGGCCUCUCAAAUAAAACUUUCUUAA
rnacentral:misc_RNA from 1 species